AUUAAAUUAAGCUAAUUGAUUGAAAACAUCAGUCUAUAGUUGAUAGAUAGUAUAAAUUCAUUGAUUUCGUUUUGGGGAAGAAUGUAGCACCGGGAAUUUUUCGGUGGUAUGGAAUACCCUUCCCCUGAAAGCUAUCAUGCCAAUUUUCCUUUUCUGUGAAAUUUUUCACGUAUUAUAGUGGCGAUUUUGUACCUCAUUUGUUCGUUUUCGUCCUCCCUUCCCUCUUGCUCUUCUUUGAACCCAUUCAUAGUGGAUUCCUUAUUACAGUGAAGACGAUUUGCGAAUCUUUGGAAUAAAAAAUUUAAGAUACUCGCAAGCUCUAAUCAUAACCUUAAAGUAACGUUAAGAAAGAAAACAACAAACAACAAAAUACUCCCAAUAAUGACUUUGAUAAGAAAAUGAUAGCCAUUACUAUCUACUUGAUAGAUUUGAAUGAGUUUUGGAUAAUCUACGCAGAGUAUAAAAUGCGCCUACGAUUCGAGACAGCUAUACUAGUUACCGAGUCUAUCAAGAAUGAAGUUCUCUAUUAUAUUAUGUAUGGUCAUUGCUAGUAUAGUGAUGGUCACAUUCAACGGAGUGGUUUUUGCCGGCUGUGAAUGCAGGAAUGAUUGUAAAUCCGGAGAAAGACAAGACGGUGCCUGUGGAACGAUGAAAUAUUGUUGCAAAUGAUACCUACAUAAAUAAAUAUGUAAUUUGUAAAACUUCAUUUUCUUGCAAUACACUAUGAGAUUAUUAACA